AACUACCAGUGGAAGCAAACCUUAGAACUACUGUUGACAUAAAUGCUACAGGAAUCUAUGAUCGCCUUUGAUUAUACGCACUAUGCAUGAAGUCUUUGGUUCUCAGUAGCACAGUUAAGAUUCUAGUGCCUGGAAUGAGUAACGUGUGAGGGCAAAUGAUGCGUCUGUCAAGCUGUUCUUCAGUUGACUGUGUUCUCUGGGCCGUCUCCUUGAGCAGAGCAUCAGAAUCCGCAGGCUUCUGGUCGUGCAUCAUAGCUCUGCAACACAGACCAAGAACAAAUAAUGAAAGUACUCACCAAGGCGCACAUUUAUAAAGAAGAAGUUACUACACGAGACA
rnacentral:lncRNA from 1 species